rnacentral:rRNA from 1 species
GAAAGAUUCAUCGGAAGAGGAUGGGCAUGCGGCGCAUUAGCUUGACGGCGGGGUAACGGCCCACCGUGGCGACGAUGCGUAGGGGUUCUGAGAGGAAGGUCCCCCACACUGGUACUGAGACACGGACCAGACUCCUACGGGAGGCAGCAGUGAGGAAUAUUGGUCAAUGGGAGAGAUCCUGAACCAGCCAAGCCGCGUGAGGGAAGACGGCCCUAUGGGUUGUAAACCUCUUUUGUCGGAGAAUAAAACCCGGGACGUGUCCCGGACUGCGUGUAUCCGAAGAAAAAGCAUCGGCUAACUCCGUGCCAGCAGCCGCGGUAAUACGGAGGAUGCGAGCGUUAUCCGGAUUUAUUGGGUUUAAAGGGUGCGUAGGCGGUCUGUUAAGUCAGCGGUAAAAUUGCGGGGCUCAACCCCGUCGAGCCGUUGAAACUGGCAGACUUGAGUUGGCGAGAAGUACGCGGAAUGCGCGGUGUAGCGGUGAAAUGCAUAGAUAUCGCGCAGAACUCCGAUUGCGAAGGCAGCGUACCGGCGCCAGACUGACGCUGAGGCACGAAAGCGUGGGGAUCGAACAGGAUUAGAUACCCUGGUAGUCCACGCAGUAAACGAUGAAUGCUGGUUGUCCGGGUCGAAUGAGACCUGGGCGGCGA